rnacentral:tRNA from 1 species
GGCCCAUUGGUCAAGUGGUUAAGACACCGCCCUUUCACGGCGGUAACAGGGGUUCGAAUCCCCUAUGGGUCAC